CUCCACAGUCUGCCAUCUAGAGGAAAGACUGAGAAUUACAUGACAUAGAGUACACGUGACAUUUCCGGGUUGCGAAGAGCGAACGAAGCUUCUUCGUCGAGGGCUAAUGUUGCUGCAAAAGUUGUCCGUAUGGGAGCGGUGGAGAUUUGUGCUCCGCUGCACGUGACAUGCACGGAUCUGCUAAAAAACAAAUUCUAAAGUAGAAAAGGGCAGCUUAGUGAUGAAGUGCUGGUUGCGCAAAGGAAAAUACAAAUUAUCUUUGGACUUUACUGGCUACAAUUUUUUGUUUUUUUUAAUCGAUUUAUCUGUUUGAGAAGACGUCAUCGCCGGUAAAAGUCAUAAUUGACGUUCCACUCAUUGUA